AGCUUUGCGCAGUGGCAGUAUUGUAGCCAAUGAGGUUUUUCUGAGGUGCCAUUAUUGCUAAUUGAAAAUAUUUCCAGCACCC
rnacentral:snRNA from 1 species